rnacentral:rRNA from 1 species
GACAGAGGUGCCAAGCGUUAGGCGGAAUCACUGGGCUUAAAGCGUGUGUAGGCGGAAUGGUAAGUACCUUGUGAAAUCCCACGGCUCAACCGUGGAACUGCUCGGUAUACUGCUUUUCUUGAGCCACUUAGGGGCUGUCGGAACAAACGGUGGAGCGGUGAAAUGCGUAGAUAUCAGGAAGAACACCCGGUGGCGAAGGCGGCUCGCUGGGCAGUGGCUGACGCUGAGGCGCGACAGCGUGGGGAGCAAACAGG